rnacentral:rRNA from 1 species
GGCAACCCUGAUCCAGCCAUGCCGCGUGUGUGAAGAAGGCCUUAGGGUUGUAAAGCACUUUCAGUAGGGAGGAAGGCCCAUUAGUUAAUACCUGCAGGGAUUGACGUUACCUACAGAAGCAGCACCGGCUAACUCCGUGCCAGCAGCCGCGGUAAUACGGAGGGUGCAAGCGUUAAUCGGAAUUACUGGGCGUAAAGCGCGCGUAGGCGGUUUGUUAAGUGAGAUGUGAAAGCCCAGGGCUCAACCUUGGAACUGCAUCUCAUACUGGCAGGCUAGAGUACGGUAUAUGUUUUUUAUAAUUCCA